UUGACCAAAGCAAGUCACAAAGCUAGCCCAGACUAGGGAAGUGAAGGGAGAACAGCCUUCUCCGCCAGAAAAAAAAAAAAAAAAUUAAUGUAUUUGUAAUUUUGACAAAUUUUGCAAAAUCAACCUCUAGGGAUAUACCAAUUUAUAUUCUACUGGCAAUGUAUAAGAACAGCUAGCAACUGAGUAUUUUCACUGUGUAUUUUGUCUGUGUAAAAAGGCUGAUGCUAUGACUACAGAAAAACAUUUCAUGGGAAUGGUUCCUGCAAGCAUAGAAUACCAGGCUGCCUCACAAGCUCUUUAGGGCUGGAAGAUAGAGAAAACUCACUCCUUUGGGCACCGGUUUCAAGCCAGAAUUAAGCUUUUGGUAUUUCUGUCCCUGGAGCUCACAGGUUCUCUGAAUUGUACUCUCAGACGUAUCCAACUCAGAAGUCAGGUGCGUGCAUAGGUCGCCCUUCGUUAAGAUUCUCCACUUACGGAGGUGGUGGACCUGGCAGGGUGUUGUAGGAAGGAGUGGCAUGUGCUGAGAAGCUCACAGGAUCCUUAGUCCUGGCUGUGACUCACAGUUAACAAAGAGUGAAGAGGACACUAUCAUCAUCAUCAUCAACAUCAUCAUCAUCAUCAUCAUUAUUAUUUGCCUGAAGGCCCAGAGUACACCGUAAUGGAGUACUGCUGAUGGGAAAGGGAUUAGCAUUGACCUCUCAGGAGGUUAAUUUGGGAGUUUAGCUCAUGAUCUAGUAAUUCUGCUUCUGGGAGUUUAUGAGAAGGAAGUGCUCUAAUAUGUGCGCCUGUGUGAUCGCUGGGCUUUAGCAUUUUAGGGGUGAGCCAACUGUAUCUCAGAGGUGGCCAUGUCUUGCAUUGAGGAGAGAGAGCACCCGCAAGAACUUCCAUGCUAUAUUCUAUUUGGGAAGAACUUGAACCUUGCAUAACGUAAACGAAGAGAAUUAACAAGAAUUUGUGGCACCCCUUCUGUGUCAGUUCUUCUUCCAGAUAAUAGGAAUAUAGCAAUAAACAAAACAGACCAGGUUCCUGCCCUCAUGGGGGAAAGAGGCAAUCUAAAAAUGAAAAAUGGGCCAGGCGCGGUGGCCCACGCCUGUAAUCCCAGCACUUUCGGAGGCCAAGGUGGACGGAUUACCCAAGGUCAGGAGUUCAAGACCAGCCUGGCCAACAUGGCGAAACCCCAUCUCUACUAAAAAUACAAAAAUUAGCUGGGCGUGGUGGCACGUGCCUGUAAGGCCAGCUACUCGGGAGGCUGAGGCAGGAGAAUUGCUUGAACCCAGGAGGGGGAGGUUGUAGUGAGCUAAGAUUGUGCCAUUGCACUCCAGCCUGGACGACAGAGCGAGACUUCAUCUCAAAAUAAAUAAAUAAAUAAAAAUAAAGAUGAAAAAUGUCACCAAAUGUCAGAUUAAGUACCAAGAGGGAAAAUAAAGCAGCGUCAAGGAUUAGAGAGUAAUAUGGGUGCUAUUUUUAGAUAAGGUGGUCAAGGGGGGCCUCUUUGAGGAGGUGCCGUUGGGUCAGAGACAUGAAUGAACAAAGGCAGGAAACUAUGCUGAUAUCUGAAGGCAGAACAUUUCAGGAGCGGAGAAAGUAAUACACAGGCCGAAGAUGAGAAGGAAGUUUACGAACUUCGUUUCUGAGACAAGGUCUCAUCCUAUCGUCCAGCCUGGAAUACAGUGGCGUGAUCAUAGCUCACUGUAACAUCGAACUCCUGGGCUCAAGCGACCCUCUCGUCUCAGCCUCCUGAGAAUGAACUUCUUUAUUCAGGGGACAGCAGGGAGACCAAUGUGGCUGGAGCAUGGUGAGCAAGCAGGGAGGGUGAUAGCAGCUGAGGUUGGAGAGAAAGCCAGGGGACAGAUCACACUGGCUUUUGAUUUGGGUCAAGUCAGGUGGGAAACCAUUGGAAAGUUUUGAAGUGGAACAUGACCUUUGCUGGCUUAAAUAUUGAAAGGCUAUCCAUGAGGAGUAAAUUACAGCUGGGCAAGAGUGGACACAGAGAGACCAAUUAAGACCUAUUGCAAGUGGUCCAUCCAGGAGGCUGUCAGGAGGCUGGACCAGGGCAGGGCAGCAGUGGAGAAGGUGAGAAGUGGUCAGAGGCAAUAACACUAUAAGAGCAAAGCUGAAGGGAUUUGCUACGAGGUCAAAUGUGAAUUGUAAUAGAAAGAUGAGAGUCAAGGAUGACUUCAAGGUUUUUGGCCUGAGCAAGUGGAAGAAUGGAGCCGUUAUUUACUAAGAAGGGGGAUGCUAGGCAGGAGCAGGUUUGGGAAUAAUGCAGAAUUUAGUUAUGGACAGAUUAAGAAUGAGAUACAGCCUGGGCAACAUGGUGAAACCCCAUCUCUACUAAAAAUACAAAAAGAUUAGCUGGGCAUGGUGGUGCGCACCUAUAAUCCCAGCUACUUGGGAAGCUGAGGCAGGAGCAUCGCUUGAGCCCGGGAGGUGGAGGUUGCAGUGAGCCGAGAGUGUGCCACUACACUCCAGCCUGGGCGACAGAGUGAGACCCUGUCUCAAAAAAAAAAGAAAAAAAAGAAAAAGAAUGAGAUACAGAAUAACCAUUCAAACUGGGUUAUUUAGGUUCUAUCCAAUACUUUUGUGUUUUUAGUGGUGCAAUUGGGCACAUGAGUCUGGAGGUCAGGACAGAAAAUACAAAUUUGAGACUCAUUAGUGUAUAGAGGGUAUUUAAAGCCGUUAGACUGGGUGAGCUCAUGCAGGAGUAAGCAAUAAUAGAGAAGAGAUCUAAAGUCUGCGUACUGGGACACCCUGAUGCUGAGAGGUCAGGAUGAAGAGAAUGAGCCAGUGAGUGAGGAAGAAAACCAGGAGAAUGUAGCGUUCUCGAAGCUAAAUGAAGAAGAUGUUUUAAGGAGGAAGCUGCUGCCUGGGAUGUGGGAGGGAUUAAAUAAUAAGCAGGAGGGGCUGGGCGCAGUGGCUCAUGCCUGUAAUCCCAGCACUUUGGGAGGUUGAGGCAGGUGGAUCACCUGAGGUCAGGAGUUCGAGACCAGCCUGGCCAACAUGGCAAAACCCCAUCUCUAUAAAAAAUACAAAAAUUAGCUAGGCAAGGUGGAGUGCGUCUGUAAUCCCAGCUACUUGGGAGGCUGGGGCAGGAGAAUCGCCUGAACCUGGGAGGCGGAGGUUGCAGUGAGCCAAGAUUGUGCCACUGCACUCCAGCCUGGGUGACAAAACGAAACUCUGUCUCAAUAAAAAUAAAAAAUAAAAAUAAGCAGGAGGCAUUUGGAAUUUUCAGGGCUGCUUGAGUGAGAAGAUAAAGAGUUUAGGUACAAAGGCUGGGCAUGGUGGCUUACGUCUGUAAUCCUAGCACAUUGUGAGGCAGAGGCAGGAGGAUGGUUUGAGGCCAGGAGUUUGAGACCAGCCUGGGAGACCCUUAUUUUUAAAUUAAA